GCUGGGGUGGUGGAGUGGUCAAACACACGAGUCUGUAAAACUCGCGGCGCAAGCCUACCCAGGUUCGAACCCUGGCCCCAGCA
rnacentral:tRNA from 2 species